ACCUGUGUAGGAGGAGGAUAAGCUUUGCCUGAAGCGUUUUGUUAUGGAAAGGUUAUUUGCUUCUGUUUCGGGAGGAUUUACGGAUCAGGAGAUUUUUCCCCCUUGGAGGAGGUUACAGAAUGGCGUGUGCAUCGUGAAACCCGAAGGAAACGUUUAGUUUAAACGGUGGGUUGAGGGGAGAAUGUUUAGCAUAUGGGAUGUAUGGAAAAGAGCGAGGGAGAGCAAGGAAAAGAUUUAAGUUGAUGCUCAUCAUAGUAUAGAAAUAGGGCGGAAGAAUAGAGAGAUGUGCAGCACCUUGAAGAGUAGGUGUUUACCCAGGUAUGAGGCCGUGAGGGAGCUCUUUAUUAGAGAGCAGAUGCGUUUUCCUGGGGAAGUAUUUUGUUAGAAGAGGGCAAUGACAUAUACUUAAUAAUUCAUAUCUAGGGAAUUACGUGCAUAUGGGUUUUUUGUGCACUUAAACAAGAAAGUGCUUAUCCUGGGGGAGUUCAGUCUACCUGGUCAAAUUUUUAAUGAAGAAGGUGCUUAGAUGUUUUUUUUUUCCAUUAAGGUCAAUGGUUACAUGCUCGUCAUUUGAAAGCGCUAAGAGGAAGGUGAAUCGACGUGCCGUAGUGCUCCAAGGCUUGCUGUUGGUGGUGUGCUCUCAGCUUCCCCGGGUUUAAUUCAGAUCUGGAUUUUUGCCAUCGCUGAAAAUGAGGCUACCAAGCAAAGCAUUCUGACAUAGUUUUUCUCCAUCAGAAUAUCCAGGCUUUGAGAUCACUCCCCUCUCAUGUCUGGAAGCUGCUUCAAAGAUGAAACCACCGUUACAUAAAACAUUAAUUCUCCAAGACUAAAAAAUGAAUUACAAUGAUAUGCAAAUUACUUGAACUCUUCUUAUUGCACUAGUAAACUUAAACUGUUAGUACAGUCAGACUGGUAAACAGUGUAUCCGUUGAGGCUGUUCUGCGAUAAAAGAAGCUUUAAUGUCACAGUCACAAUCAAAUAUUAUAGCCAAAUUUUGCCAGGAGUGCAGUAUUGGAGCAGCUUGUUCUUAUUCCAGUGCUUAGAUCGGUAAAGAUGCUGCUUUUUUUUUUUUGGUGGUCGGCGAUUAUGCCAGUUCUGAGUGAAAGAACUGCUCAGCCGCAUAUAGGAGGUUGGAGGAUGUUGCCAUACUGAUUUCAGUAGCACCACUAGCAGCAUGAGCUGCGUUGUUUCCCUGGGGCAAUAAUCCGGGAUCCUGACGAGCCGGGAAUUGCCGUGGCUGUAGUUUUCACGUAUCCCAGAGGCUGAGCGUUGUUAGUGGAGGUGUCUGGGAUGCCACGUGGAAAACCAGUUAACAAAACCUAAUCCUUAGCCGCUUAUACUUCUAAGGAAAAUGAUUAGAAAUGUAACACUUUUAAAUAUGAAAGUGAAGAGUCUAAAGAUACUAUUACUCAUCUCAAAAGCUAGGUGUGGUUGACAGGGGACUGGUUUGAGCACUGAAGUUUAGCUGUGUUGCUGAUGUAACUGUCAAAUGUUAAACUCUUCUCUUGGGGAGAAACUUCAAAAUUACUGGUACUUUCCGGGUGCCAAAAUUUUUUUCUUCAGCUUUCAUCUUUCUUGCUUUUAGUUUAUUAUGUUAUUUAAUAGUUAAUGUCACUGAACAAAUACUUAUUUAAUUUAAAAAACACACAAAUUCACACAUCUUUUUUUAAGUUGGAUGUUUUUCUGUGUCAGUUCAGUGGACAGAUUUGGGGUUUGGCUUCCAAAGGGAAACGGACACCUAGCACAUGCAUGUUUCUACCUUUGAGAGUUUCUGAGGACGUUUUGGUCAGCUCAGCAGAUCAGUUUGCUUAGGAGUGGAAAUAUGCACAUUCGGGGUGUUUGUUUCCUUUUUGAAGCCAAGUCCCAAAUCUCUCCCUUAAUUCUGAAAAAUGCCGUGACCCUGUAUAAUCAGUUGUCGACUGGCCUGAAGGCACAAUGAAUAUGCUUUAGGAUGUGGACCAACUCGCUCUUGCAGUUUGAACACUGGAAAAUAUAAAUUCUUUGUCCGUUUAUAGUGCUUCUUGGCUGCCUCUACUUCACCAUCGUCACAGGCAAGAUGGCCCUAGUAAAUGUUCUCUUUCCUUGCUGGCCAGAUGCUGCGAGAUGCUAUAGUUACUUUCCCCUAUCCCUCAGUGGGUGGAGUGGAUUCCCACUGCGGAGCUAGUUUGUGUGUACUCCCUUGGAAGUAAUUGAAGAAGGAAUUUUGUUUAAAAACUUUUAAAAAGCUAAAACAAACAAUGUCUCACAGUGUGGGAGUGGAGCAAAUCCCAUAGGCCUGCUUCAGAACAUGUGAUGGUUGAAUGGCAAACUUCCUGCGGUUUUCACUCCAAACACUUUACUAAAAAAUACUGUUAACGUUUGAA